GUACUAAUGGCCGACAAUAAGGAAGAUUUGCAGGGAUUUAUAGCCAUCUGCGGUAAUGAGGGAGAUAGGUUAAAUUUGAAGUUCAGUAAGGAAAAAUCGGCAGUCAUGAUUUUUAAUGAUAACCAAGGCAGUGAGCAUAGGAUACAGGAGGUCACGCUAGAGAUAACAGAUAAAUACAAAUAUCUGGGCGUAUGGAUAAGCAAUGGGGCUGAGUACCUAAGGGAACACGAAAUAUACGUAAUGACUAAGGGCAACAGGAAUGCAGCUGUAAUGAAAAAUAGGGCACUGUGGAACUACAAUAGGUAUGACGUUGUGAGAGGA